AAGUCGUAACAAGGUUUCCGUAGGUGAACCUGCGGAAGGAUCAUUAACAACAUAUCCUAACUAAAAAACCCUGUGAACUUUCAACCCCAAGCUCUUGAUCCGAGGAGUUCAGCAAUCUCUGGUAAAUCAUUGUUGACCAGCUUUUGAGUCAGGGACCUCUGCCGAUUGUGAUAUUUUAUAGCUACGGUUGAGCGAUUGCAUCUAGUGACCUGGCAUCCCCAAGUAAUCAGUGUUCUGAAAGUGUCAUUGAUUGUGUAAGGAUGGCGCAGUCACGAUCGCUGUAGGCCCACACGGCCGGCGACCGGGUCACCGGGCUCUGCUCCUUUACGACAACUACAGUCUAACUUCGCCGCGCGUGAAAUUCGCACGGCACCAAAAACCGAACAACUGUUAACAAUGGAUAUCUUGGUUCUC
rnacentral:misc_RNA from 1 species